GCGUUUUCCGUGUCGGAACAAUUCGCCACCAAAUUGUAGAUUUCAUGGUGAUAGGGUCAAAAUUAUUGUGUCAAUAUCAUGCAAUUGUAAAGAGUUUGAAAAAAGUUAAAUGUGAUUAGUUUUCCAAUAUGAUGGUAAGAUCGUCAUGGCAACUAAAUAUCAACAAUGGUAGGCACCCAGUUCUUGCCGAGGCGAGGAACGUGUCGGAUGGAGAAAUGGUUUAAUGGUAGUAAAUUUUGGUUAUUCGGAAACCAACUGCAGCUACUCCCCAAAAGUUGUUGCAGGACACGCACCUCGUCCAAAGUCAUGGAACGCUACGAGAAAUUGGCAAAAUUGGGUGAAGGGAGCUACGGCAUUGUGUACAAAUGUCGCAACCGCGACACGGGGGAAAUAGUGGCGAUCAAAAAAUUCGCGGAAAGCGAGGACGACCCCCUGAUCCGCAAAAUUGCUCUUCGAGAAAUAAGACUACUCAAAAAUUUGAAGCAUCCAAACCUGGUAAACCUUCUGGAAGUGUUUCGGCGGAAGCGCCGCCUGCACCUUGUGUUCGAAUUUUGCGAACGCACGGUUUUAAACGAGCUGGAGCGCUACCCCAGGGGGUGCCCCCAUCUGCUCACCCAGCAGAUCAUCUGGCAGACGCUCCAGGCGGUGGCUUACUGCCACCACCACGGGUGCAUCCACCGGGACAUCAAGCCGGAGAAUAUCCUCCUGACGGGCUCCGGAGUCGUGAAACUGUGCGAUUUUGGCUUCGCCCGGAUGCUGAGUCCGGGCGAGAACUACACGGACUACGUGGCGACGCGCUGGUACCGGGCCCCGGAGCUGCUGGUCGGGGACACCCAGUACGGGACUCCGGUGGACGUCUGGGCCAUAGGUUGCGUUCUGGCCGAAUUGGUGAAAGGCGAGGCGCUCUGGCCGGGGAAAUCCGAUGUGGAUCAACUGUACCUUAUCAGAUCGACGGUUGGUGACCUUUUGCAGAGGCACAUGCAAGCGUUCAAGAAUAACGAUUUUUUCCAAGGGGUUAUUCUGCCGGUGCCGCAGCAAAUGGUGCCGCUGGAGGUCAAGCUGCCCAUGUGCAACCAGACCACGAUAGAUUUUUUAAAAAUGAUUUCGAUUCGGACCGUUUUAGAAAAAAAUGUCUGGAUAAAGACCCUCUGAAACGGUGGACCUGUGAUAUGCUUCUCACGCACGACUAUUUCGAAAAUUUUAAUUUCAAAGUGGAUGAAACCGACUCGCAAAAUUUCGAGAAAUUGUCGAGGGACAGGUCACGAAAUUCACUCAAUGGUACCUCCUUACCUCAACUAACGACAAAUAAACCGAUAAGUCCGGCGAAACAAAAUAAUAAUCAACGAUCCAAAAUCGACCAUUUACCGACUAUAUGACAAAGACUUUCGUUUUUUUCGAAGUAAAUCAUAGCAAAUCUCUAUUUUGUGUAUUUGAAAAUUAAAGUGUUAUAUUUUAGAGGUAGAAUUAAGCGUAAUCGUUGCAUUGUACUUAUGUUGAGAGGAAUAAAAAAUGAGUCCAAAUUUA